rnacentral:rRNA from 1 species
GAUUUAUUGGGCGUAAAGCGCGCGCAGGCGGUCUUUUAAGUCUGAUGUGAAAGCCCACGGCUCAACCGUGGAGGGUCAUUGGAAACUGGGGGACUUGAGUGCAGAAGAGGAGAGUGGAAUUCCACGUGUAGCGGUGAAAUGCGUAGAGAUGUGGAGGAACACCAGUGGCGAAGGCGACUCACUGGUCUGUAACUGACGCUGAGGCACGAAAGCGUGGGGAGCGAACAGGAUUAGAUACCCUGGUAGUCCACGCCGUAAACGAUGAGUGCUAAGUGUUAGAGGGUUUCCGCCCUUUAGUGCUGCAGCUAACGCAUUAAGCACUCCGCCUGGGGAGUACGGCCGCAAGGCUGAAACUCAAAGGAAUUGACGGGGGCCCGCACAAGCGGUGGAGCAUGUGGCUUAAUUCGAAGCAACGCGAAGAACCUUACCAGGUCUUGACAUCCUCUGACAAUCCUAGAGAUAGGACUUUCCCCUUCGGGGGACAGAGUGACAGGUGGUGCAUGGU